UGGACUGUCAUUUGGAUGAUUGUUGAUUUGAAUUUCGCAGGACACAUGCUGUCAUGGAAUUGGUAUUGCACAUCGUCCGCUUUGCACUACAGCGGUCAAGCCAAGGAUUACAAAGGUUAGGCUUUGAAGCCUCAUUGCCGGUUGCAUUCGGGUUGAGAUGGCCUUGCUGCAAGCAUCGUGUUCCCAUAUGAUGGCAGGGCUCGGAGCAAUUCAGUCUCGGUUCCAAUUGCUGAUUACUCGCAAAGGAUUCUCGUAAGGUGACUCAGUUGUAAGCUUUUCAGCAAAAGCAGACAUAGCAGUUUCAAACUUUCUUCAACAGGACGCCAUCCAGGUCGAAUGGCAUGCUGGACAAGACGAAGGCUAAGUGGUGCGUAUCCGGAGAAGACAUGAACAACAUCAUUGGGGGUUGGCUGUAUCGGUAUCUUCAACCACAAGCUCCAGAGUACAUUUUAUAGCAGCUUGGCGCUCAUGCAAUUGAUUCAAGGAUCAUGAUGGUGUUUGAAGGCCCGAUUAGUGAUCGAGACUAACGGCAUAGCAGGUCUGCAACCAGCAGGUAAUCGCUGUCAUUCUGCGACACGACUACGACCUUAGGUUCAUGGCCCGCACAGAUAGGAUGCGUUGGCUGGUGGGAUGGUUUUGCCAGUGUGUAUUGCAAUGCUGACUUGGUUGUCGGAAUUGCGGCGUUUAGCUCAGUUCUGAAGCUCUGUUAUUGAGGUGGUCGGCAUUCCGGACAAAGAGCUUUCAGCUUAUCCUGUGGCAGCUUGCGGUUCUCUCGGCAGCACUGGCAGCUUAUGCUUUCC